CAAAUGCUUCACCCAUUAACAGCAUGACACCACCUAAGUUGUUUUUAUCAAUGUGAUCUCCUCCAUCUAAAAGCUUGUCCCAUUCUUGUGCUCCCGCAAGAAGUUGAGCGGUGAUAUGCUUGAAGAACACACUGAAAUUCACUGGUAAAGAGUGGAACAAGACCAAGGAGGCAAAAAAGGAAUAAAUAGCAAAGAGAAGGAAACUACAGUACGUAUGCAACCAUGAAGCUUCAAAGAAAAUUGUAAUUGGCACAAGUAGUGUUCCCUGCCAGAUCAGAAGGAAGAGGAAUUGAAAACGAAAUUAAAUUGUAAAGUGAACAACCGCUUACAACCCACAAGCGUGGGGAGGACAG
rnacentral:misc_RNA from 1 species